rnacentral:rRNA from 1 species
CCCGGAAUUUUAAGGUUGGCGGGCAAUUGGGGGCCUAUCAUGCAAGUCGAACGGUAACCAGGAAGAGCCUUGGUUUUUUCGGCUGAACGAGUGGGGCAGGGGAGAAACAUGUCUGGAACCUUGCCUGAUGACUGGGAUAUACUCCCUGAAACCGGAACUUAUUCCCGAUUAACUUUUCAAAACCAAGGAGGGGAACCUUAAGGCCUCUUGCCCUCGGAUGUACCCACAUGCGAUUAACUAGUUAGUGGGGUAGCGACUCACCUACGCAACCAUCCCUACCUGGCCUGACAGGAUGACCAACCACACUGGAACUGAGACACAGUCCACACUCCUACCGAAGGCAGGAAGGGGGAAUAUUACUCUACUGGGCGAAAAGCCCUAAUGUACACCCAUGCCCCCCGUAUGGAACAAGGACUUCGGGCUUGGAAAAUUUAAUUUCAGUCGGGGGAGGAAAGAAGAUCACGCUAAAUACCCUCACCCAAUUGACGUUAACCCGCAAAAAGAAGCCACCGGCUAAAUCCUGUGCCCACCACCCCCGGUAAUAUCGGAGGGGGCAAGCGUGAAUCGGAAUUUACUGGGCGUAAAGCGCACGCAGGCGGUCUGUCAAGUCGGAUGUGAAAUCCCCCGGGCUCACCCUGGAAACGGCAUUCGAAACUGGCAGGCUAGAGUCUUGUAGAGGGGAGGUAGAAUUCCAGGUGUAGCGGUGAAAUGCGUAAAAGAUAUGGAAGGAAUACCGGUGGCAAAGGCGGCCCCCUGGACAAAGACUGACGCUCAGGUGCGAAAGCGUGGGGAGCAAACAGGAUUAGAUACCCUGGUAGUCCACGCCGUAAACGAUGUCGACUUGGAGGUUGUGACCCUUGAGCCGUGGAUUCCGGAGCUAACGCCUUAAAAACGACCGCCUGGAGAAUACGGCCGAAAGGUUAAAACUCAAGUAAGAAUUAACGGGAGCCCCCCACAGCCGGUGGAAACAAGGGGUUUAAUUUCAAUGCAACCGCAAAAAACCUUUACCCACUCUUGACAUCCAGUAGAACUCAUCCCAAAAAAAUAGUGUUGUUUUCUUUUCGGGAACCUGCUGAAAACAGGGGGGCGUGAAAGGGUGUUGGCCCUCAACCCCCGGGUUAAGAAAAGGUGGGGAAAACCCCGCAACGAAGGCCACCCUUAUCCUUUGUUGCCAACCGUUCGGCCGGGCACUCAAAGGAGACUGCCAGUGAUAAACUGGAGGAAGGUGGGGAUGACGUCAAGUCAUCAUGCCCCUUACGACUAGGGCUACACACGUGCUACAAUGGCGGAUACAAAGAGAAGCGACCUCGCGAGAGCAAGCGGUCCUCAUAAAGUGCUUUGUAGUCCGGAUUGGAGUCUGCAAUUCGACUCCAGGAAGUCGGAUUCGUUAGUAUUGGUGGAUCAGAAUGCCCCGGGGAAUCCGUUCCCCGGUCUUGGUCCCCACCGCCCGUCCCACCAGGGGAAGUGGGUUCCACCAAGAAGUUAGGUAGGUUACCGUCUAGGAACCCACCCUUCCGCAGUGGCCCUUA